rnacentral:rRNA from 1 species
UACAGAGGUCCCAAGCGUUGUCCGGAUUUAUUGGGCGUAAAGAGCGUGUAGGCGGUUUGGUGGGUCCGCUGUGAAAACUCGAGGCUCAACCUCGAGACGCCGGUGGAAACCAUCAGGCUAGAGUCCGGAAGAGGAGAGUGGAAUUCCUGGUGUAGCGGUGAAAUGCGCAGAUAUCAGGAAGAACACCCGUGGCUAAGGCGGCUCUCUAGUACGGUACUGACGCUGAGACGCGAAAGCGUGGGGAGCGAACAGG